UACGGGGGGGGCAAGCGUUGUUCGGAAUUACUGGGCGUAAAGGGCGCGUAGGCGGCCUUCUAAGUCGGACGUGAAAUCCCUCGGCUUAACCGAGGAACUGCGUCCGAGACUGAAAGGCUUGAAUCCGGGAGAGGGAUGUGGAAUUCCAGGUGUAGCGGUGAAAUGCGUAGAUAUCGGGAGGAACACCGGUGGCGAAGGCGCACAUCUGGCCCGAUACUGACGCUGAGGCGCGAAAGCUAGGGGAGCAAACGGG
rnacentral:rRNA from 1 species